UGGAUCGAUGAUGAGCAUGUGUGGCACAAGUCACGGAUGGUGACUGUAGGUCUGGAAGUCUGAGGUCCAU